rnacentral:rRNA from 1 species
GCCUGACGCAGCGACGCCGCGUGGAGAAAGAAGGCCUUUGGGUUGUAAAACUCUUUUUUGAGGGGAGAAGUAAGUGACGGUACCUCCGGAGGAAGCCCCGGCUAAAUACGUGCCAGCAGCCGCGGUAAUACGUAGGGGGCGAGCGUUGUCCGGAAUUACUGGGCGUAAAGGGCGUGUAGGCGGUCCUUUAAGUCAGGUGUGAAAACCCCCGGCUCAACCCCGGGAAUGCGCUUGAAACUGGGGGGCUUGAGGGCAGGAGAGGGGAGUGGAAUUCCCGGUGUAGCGGUGAAAUGCGUAGAUAUCUGGAGGAACACCCGUGGCGAAGGCGGCUUCCUGGACUGGACCUGACGCUGAGGCGCGAAAGCGUGGGGAGCAAACAGGAUUAGAUACCCCGGUAGUCCCCGCCGUAAACGAUGGGUACUAGGUGUUGGGGGUAUCGACCCCUCCAGUGCCGCAGUUAACACA